UACGGGGGGGGUAAGCGUUGUUCGGAAUUACUGGGCGUAAAGGGCUCGUAGGCGGCCAACUAAGUCAGACGUGAAAUCCCUCAGCUUAACUGGGGAACUGCGUCUGAUACUGGAUGGCUUGGAUUCGGGAGAGGAAUGCGGAAUUCCAGGUGUAGCGGUGAAAUGCGUAGAUAUCUGGAGGAACACCGGUGGCGAAGGCGGCAUCCUGGACCGGUAUUGACGCUGAGGCGCGAAAGCCAGGGGAGCAAAGCAGG
rnacentral:rRNA from 1 species